CGGACGGGUGAGUAAUGUCUGGGAAACUGCCCGAUGGAGGGGGAUAACUACUGGAAACGGUAGCUAAUACCGCAUAAUGUCGCAAGACCAAAGAGGGGGACCUUCGGGCCUCUUGCCAUCGGAUGUGCCCAGAUGGGAUUAGCUAGUAGGUGGGGUAACGGCUCACCUAGGCGGCGAUCCCUAGCUGGCCUGAGAGGAUGACCAGCCACACUGGAACUGAGACACGGUCCAG
rnacentral:rRNA from 1 species